UUCUAAAUAGUUUAAUGAGAAUGUAAUUUUGAAGAAGUUAAGGUAGUGAGUAACUUUUGGAUA
rnacentral:tRNA from 1 species